GGCGGCCGGGGCUCUGGCGCCCCGCGCCCGGAGGCCAUGGCCUCCGCAUGGGGCUGGGUCUAGUUGGCGGAGGGCGCUCUAGGGAUGCGCGGCUACCCCGAGAAAUUUCGCCCUGGAAUCGUUGUUCCCUGAGGAAUCGCUGGUGGACGUGCAGGCUUGGCAAGAAAAUGCGAGACGUUAUACUUGAGCCUUCUUUCAAUGCUAGGAUCCUCUAACAGGUCCCCCGAUUUUCCUCAAGUUGUGAGACAGGAAAGAUCUUGUAUCACUUUAAGAACUCAGGGUGCCUAGUACCACUAUAGAGCUGUUGGUCAGAAGAAUUGAGCAAAGUAGAAAGCAGGCACUUGAAAUAAUUUUUCAAAGAAAUUUGGAAGAAAUGGCUGUGAGUGCUCUGUGGUAUCAUACUCCAUACGGAACUAUACCUCAGCGAACACGGCGUUUCAGAGGAGCUAAAGGUCCCUUUGCUGUUCCAAUCAGUGGAAAUUUUGAUCUGUGUGAGCAUGUGUUCUAGAACCGAAGGGCUGGGGAAGGGAUCCUGGUGCCCUGAUUUGCCCUCCUUAUUGUUUCACAGAACCUGCAGCAGCCCCAGAUAACCGAAUGAGCUAGUUUAACGACUUUAGAACAGCUUUAGCGUGUUUUUUUCCUUACUGCAAAAUAUGUGCUUAUUGUAAUACAUUUAGAAGAUAAAGAUAAAACAGAAGAAAAAAAAUACCCCCUUUCAUCUUUAACUCAUUAAACACU